rnacentral:rRNA from 1 species
AUUGAACGCUGGCGGCAGGCUUAACACAUGCAAGUCGAACGAGUGGCGGACGGGUGAGUAAUGCUUGGGCAUCUAGCUUAUGGAGGGGGAUCACUACGGGAAACUGUAGCUAAUACCGCGUACCAUAGGAUGGGCCCAAGUGGGAUUAGGUAGUUGGUGAGGUAAAGGCUCACCAAGCCGACGAUCUCUAGCUGGUCUGAGAGGAUGACCAGCCACACUGGGGCGGAGGCACGGCCCAGACGCCUACGGCGGGAAGCAGUAGGGAAGAUUGCGCAAUGGGGGCAACCGGACGCAGCCAUGCCGCGGGAAUGAAGAAGGAGUUCGGGUUGUAAAGUGCUUUCGGUAGCGAGGCGUUAACUACAGAAGAAGCACCGGCUAACUCCGUGCCAGCAGCCGCGGUAAUAAUUC